rnacentral:rRNA from 1 species
CCUACGGGCGGCAGCAGUGAGGAAUAUUGGUCAAUGGACGAGAGUCUGAACCAGCCAAGUAGCGUGAAGGAUGACUGCCAUAUGGGUUGUAAACUUCUUUUAUAAAGGAAUAAAACGAGGCACGUGUGCCUUUUUGUAUGUACUUUAUGAAUAAGGAUCGGCUAACUCCGUGCCAGCAGCCGCGGUAAUACGGAGGAUCCGAGCGUUAUCCGGAUUUAUUGGGUUUAAAGGGAGCGUAGAUGGGUUGUUAAGUCAGUUGUGAAAGUUUGCGGCUCAACCGUAAAAUUGCAAUUGAUACUGGCAGUCUUGAGUACAGUUGAGGUAGGCGGAAUUCGUGGUGUAGCGGUGAAAUGCUUAGAUAUCACGAAGAACCCCGAUUGCGAAGGCAGCUUACUAAACUGUGACUGACAUUGAUGCUCGAAAGUGUGGGUAUCAAACAGGAUUAGAUACCCGAGUAGUC